rnacentral:rRNA from 1 species
GACGUAGGGGGCGAGCGUUGUCCGGAUUUAUGGGGCGUAAAGCGCGCGUAGGCGGCCCGUUAAGUCGGAUGUGAAAACCCGAGGCUCAACCCCGGGCCUGCAUUCGAUACUGGCGGGCUCGAGGCAGGCAGGGGAGAGCGGAAUUCCUGGUGUAGCGGUGAAAUGCGCAGAUAUCAGGAGGAACACCGGUGGCGAAGGCGGCUCUCUGGGCCUGUCCUGACGCUCAGGCGCGAAAGCUAGGGGAGCAAACAGG